rfam:Picea glauca, whole genome shotgun sequence.
UCUUGUGUACAUGCCUACAACGUUAAUGCACCAGAUCCCAUUAGAACUCUGCAGUUAAGUGUGCUUGGGCUAGAGUAGUACUGGGAUGGGUGACCUCUUAGGAAGUCCUAGUGUUUUAUAUGCC